UUUUUUUUUUUUCUUCAUUUCUUUUUUUUUAAUUGUACAUAACUGCUCAGCAAUAGUAGUGGAAAGGAUUAUUUGAGAUGAGAAAAAAAGUCUGCAACUUAUUUUGAUACUUUUUUUUUUUUUUUUAACACCCGUCAACAUCAGCGAAGUAUUUUGUAAAGUUUCAGAGUGAACUACAACAAAUUUUAGAAAAGAAGAAAACUAAAUUAGGUCUCUUAUACAGAAGUAAAUCUGCAAGCAAAAUGGCUUUCAAAACCACAGAUCAGUAGCUAGACAGAGAGCUGCUUGAUGAGCUACUCAUUUAGGUAUGAACAUGGGACUUGUUAACAGAGGUAAAUGUGAGAGAAAAAGGAAGCCUCAUGAUGAGAGGGUUUAAGAUGUCAGUAAAGCACAUGGUUAUGGCAGUAACAUUAAGCAGUUAACUGUGAUUCACAGCUUUAAAAGCAGAAGUCAUUUAGCUUGCUAAUUACAAUAACAGCUGCAAAAUUGAAGAGUUCUUCAACUAUUUAUGAGGUAUGAAGACAAAAUGUGGAGACAAAGCAUUAGAACAUUGGAGAACUUAUCACUAAGGCUUUGCUGCUAAAACUGUGUCAUCUGAGUCCAGCAGAGUACCACCAAUAGGGACUUUAGAAACAUCUUCAGUCUCUUCUGCUCAAUCCCUCUGUUGUAUUGUUGUUUUAGUAGUUGCCAAUCCUUAUAUCUGCAGUUGAUUGGUUUAUCACACUGACCAGCUGUUUGGCAUGUGAGAGACCUCAACUGGACAUUGUAAAUUGAAUUCUUACAUGUGUGUAAAAGUUUUGAUUCAGUGAAAUUGCAAGUCCUUUCACAGGAUGCCCAGCCCAUAAAACACGGACAUCUAAAACAGUUAUCUGAACUGUGACUUCUGACCCCUUCUUUUCUGUAGAUAGCAUGAAUGUGAGGAAUUGCACGGUGCUCUAUGCAGCAGGUUGUGGUGGUCCAUAUUCAAGUGUACUUCCUCCCACUUUCUUUUCCAAAAUUCCUCAUUUUUCUUCCAUUUCCACUACAGAUAUGAAUCUAUUUUUGAUCAAAAUAUAUUAAAAUAUAUGACCCAGUAGUUAAACAGCCAGCUCUGCAGUGGGUUACACACACUUUGUCAUAGCCCUACAGAUAUGCCAGAGAUAAUUUGAACACAGUUUCUGUUUAACACGACUUAGAAAAAUUUCCCGUAUAUUUUGGCUGUGAGGGGGUUAGAUUUCUUUCUUAGAAAAGGUUCUUUAAAGGUUUCUUAAAAGGUUCUUUAUUUUUUUUCUUCUGAUACACAUAUUUUUUUAAAAAUCCAGUAAAGUUAUACACAGAAGGAAUUUGAAGAUGCCUUUACAUAGAGCUAUUCUGAGUUGAUCUCACAGGAUCAGCAGUCAUAUUAAAAAGCUGUUUAGGGAAAUGAAUGACAAGGUACAAUACCACCAAAGUAGAUUAUCAAAGCAUAUAAACAGCCCUUUGAUAGCUAUCAAGCAUUGGACAGCAACGAAAAGGCAGUGGAACUAAACACAAUAAAAAAUAAGUAGUAGUCAGCCACAGUCAUGUUGGGAAAUUUUAGUCUAAGAAGUACUGUACAUGUUGUGUUAUCUGCAGGAGAAUGCAAUUAACUCUUUAGAGUUCUGUUAUUAUUGUCCCUGUGAAAAAGAUUUGUGAGAGGAAUACAGGAUAUAGGCAACUCCCAGAACUAUCUGGACAAUACCCAAGAGUUGUUAAACUAUGGAAGAAAUAGGGGAAAUAAAAGAGGUAGCUGGUAUUCUCUAUCUCUGUGCCUGUACAAGGACAUCUAGAAAUCUGGUUUCACUUAAUACAUGAUUAAGUCUUAUUCCUUUAGAAUAAAUGCUAUAAUAAAAUCCACUAUAGGAAAUAAUCCUUGUCCUUUUAUUUUGCACCCUCAUUUGGGCUAAGUGUCCCUUUGUUAGGCUUGCUUUUUCUAUAUUCUUUCCAUCUAUUUUUGUUCCACAUGCCAGCCUAUAUACAUGAAUAAAAUCCACAUUAUGUAUGCAAAGGCUAGUGCAGUUGUAGUGGAGAACUUGCCACUAAAUAACACCAUUUAGCUAAUUAAGUUAAACUGCUAAUAAAGCUAAUGAUAGAAACAAUAGUUUUGGCAACAAAAGCUGAGAAUCGUGGAGGUGAAUGUGACUGCUGCUUGGACCAUAUUCACCUUUUAAUGUGGCAUUCUGAUGUUCAGACAGCGUGCACUGUUUGGUGGGGGGGGGGGGGGGAAGUGUUUCAGAGCUGGAUAGAUCAGUAAUAACAGCAGAAUCAGGGGAUAAAAAAGACUGUUUAAGAUUCUGGGUGUCUCUCAUGCCAAACUCUGAGUCCUCUGGAGAGUUCAGAAGCUCACAGCCGGCGUCUUCUGGAAACGUGUCACCUUCGGUUGCUAUUGAUCUGUAGCUUCCAACUGUUGUGCUGGAGAUUCAGUUCACCAGCAACAAAGUAUUGUCAGCACCAAGGAUGUUGCAUAACAGUGAACGGUGCUUUUUGAUGACUGAAGUAAAGAAAGAAGCAUUUUUGAAUAAGGUCAGAAAUUACUGAAUGAUAAUAUGUUUUUCUGUUGCCUGUUAAAGUUUCACCAUAGUGCAGUUGGCAGAGUGAGAGACUUCUCCAAAACACUGAGAAACAAUCAUAUAAGCUAUCUUUUGGUGUUUGUGUGUGUAUACAAUUAAUCUGAAAUAACUGUAACAUUACAAAAGUAAAAAUCUGUGCAAAAAAGGGAUUAAUAUUAUGAAGACUGGGAUGCACACAAGUUGCCGAAGUGCACUUUAGUAGUAUGCUCCUUCUUGAAUUUCAGGUCUCAAAGCUUACAUACAAGAAAGUAUUAUUUUUGCUGUACUUGGUGGAAGGUAAAACUGUAGAUCACAGUAUGGAGUCCAAUUGAGACAGCUGAGCAGUGCUACCUUAAGGCUAUUCACAACAAUUUGCUUACAAUUUCAGAAGCUGUGCCUGUCAUCAACAGGUGCUCUUUAUAGUCUUUGAGAUUAUGGCAAAGAUAUAUUCAGACCACCGGUAGUAGAAACUUCUUGAGACCACUGUCUAUCAUACCUAAGAAGAAGAAAUCCUUCAUGCUUGUUUCCUUGAGGAACCCCUUAAAAAUCCCCACAUCUUCAAGGUAAGAGUGGUAAAGCAGGAAGUGAAAAAAAAAAAAAAAUGUUGAUGUCAGGAGGGAAGGCACCAUUACUGCAUUUGUAUAGUAAAUUGAUGCAUAGUUGAUGCCCUUAUAAUUGCAUCGCAAUACAUUAUUGUGUCUAGUUCAGGGCUCCUCAGUUCAAGAAAGAGAAGAAACUUCUGGACAGAAUCCAGUGGAAGGCCACAAAGAUGAUCAAGGGCCUGGAUCAUCUCCCUUAUGAAGAAAGGCUGAGAGAUCUGGGACUGUUCAGCAUGGAGAAGAGAAAACUGAGAGGGAAUCUUAUCAACACUUAGAAAUAUCUAAUGGGUGAGUGUCAAGUGGAGACUCAAGAGUCACCAGGCUCUUUUUGGUAGUGUCCGGUGAAAGGACAGAGGGCAAUGGACAUGAAAUAGAACACAGGAAGUUCCAUGUGAACAUAACAAAAAAAUAUCUUUACUUUGAGGGUGACAGCAAUGGAACAAGCUGCCCAGAGAGAUUAUAAUCUCUUUCUCUGGAGAUAUUCAAAAACCCGCCUGGAUGCUUUCCUGUGCAAAUAGCUCUGGGGAACCUGCUUUAGCAGGGGACACAGACUCGAUGAUCUCCAGAGAUCCCUUACAACCCCUAUGAUUCCAUGAUUCUGCAAUAUCACCCAUCCAUGGUGGACUUUUCAGAAGGCUGUAUCCCACAGUCCUGAUUCUCUUCUGUCUGAGUUUCUGCAUUUAUUACCCAUGUGUUGUCCUUCCACG
ensembl:lncRNA